AUCUAGUGGAAAAGUUUUCCGGCUAAAUCUAGCGGAAAAUUUUCCCCGCUAAAUCUAGUGUAAAAUUUUCCCACUAAAUUUAGCGGAAAAUUUUUUCCCGCUAAAUCUAGCGUAAAGUUUUCUCCGCUAAAUCUAGCGGAAAAGGUCCCCACUAGAUUUAGCGGGGAAAAUUUUUCGCUUAAUUCAGCGAGGAAAAUUUUUCCGCUAGAUUUAGCGGGGAACAUUUUCUGCUAAAGUUAGCGGGGAAACUUUUCCGCUAGAUUUAGCGGGGAAAAUUUUCCGCAAAUUUUAGCGGGAAAAUUUUUCCGCUAAA
rnacentral:SRP_RNA from 1 species